rnacentral:snoRNA from 1 species
AAGACUAUCCUUCAGGGAUCAUUUCUCUAGCUCAUUACUAGAGAAGUUUCUCUGAAGGUGUAGAGGACCAGAAACCACGGAGGGAGUGCAGUGUUCUCUCCUGGGCCUGAAGCCGGCGCUUGGUGUCGCUUUGCUGCAAGUGCCAUUUGCCACUGAUGAUUGCUCUUCUCUACCUCUGGGGGAGUAAGAGGGAGAGGAUGCAGACUGAGUAGG